UACGGAGGAUCCGAGCGUUAUCCGGAUUUAUUGGGUUUAAAGAGUGCGUAGGCGGCCUAUUAAGUCAGGGGUGAAAGACGGUAGCUUAACUAUCGCAGUGCCUUUGAUACUGAUAGGCUUGAAUAUACUUGAGGUAGGCGGAAUGUGACAAGUAGCGGUGAAAUGCAUAGAUAUGUCACAGAACACCAAUUGCGAAGGCAGCUUACUAAAGUAUGAUUGACGCUGAGGCACGAAAGCGUGGGGAUCAAACAGG
rnacentral:rRNA from 1 species